GGACUACUGGGGUUUCUAAUCCUGUUUGCUCCCCUAGCUUUCGUGCAUCAGCGUCAGUUGUGGUCCAGUGAGCCGCUUUCGCCACAGGUGUUCCUUCCGAUAUCUACGCAUUUCACCGCUACACCGGAAAUUCCACUCACCUCUCCCACACUCAAGCCCGGCAGUAUUUCGUGCAGGCUUCGAGUUAAGCCCGAAGAUUUCACACAAAACUUACCGAACCGCCUACGCACCCUUUACGCCCAAUAAUUCCGAACAACGCUCGCCCCCCUCGUAUUACCGCGGCUGCUGGCAC
rnacentral:rRNA from 1 species